CGGAGAGGGCCCGGCGGCUUCCGGAUUGCGGGCGCCCCGCCCCCGCCCCGCCCCGCCGGGCGACCGCCGCGGGCCACCCCUGCUCUCUACAGGCUGCGGGCCUCCGGUGUUUCAGGUGCCCUGACUGGGGAUCAAAUCCGCAACCUUGGCGCAUCAGACAAUGCUCCGACCAACUGAGCUACCCAGCCAGGGCUUUGAAUUGUAUGUUUUAAAAGGAUGAAUUCAGUGUGAAUUAUAUUUCUAUAAGGUAGGAGAGAUAAAAGAAGAUAUAAAUGUUUCUGCUCAUUUCUAGAAGAAAGCAGUACACAUGCACCAGAACCUAAGUUUAGGUACCUGUAGGGAAUGGGUGAGGAAGGCUGGAAAGACUGCGGAGAUGGGACGGAGUGGCAGUGAGGAAGAGCCAGCGACCUUUCUCUCAUGGCUCUGGUUUGUACAGCUCUGACUCUCAGAGUCAUGGCGAUGUUACAUAUACAUACAUGUAACCAGGGUGUGGAGGUUAACCCAAAACAGACUGCAAGCAGGGACAAACAAGCUGUACUGUGUUGUAAAUGAUUAACAUACCACUACCAAAUGGGUGGGGAAGAAAACAACUUAAGUAACUUUGGAAAACAGUAUUUUGACUAAAGGCCAAAGCCAGACACAAACAACUUGAUAUAACCAUUGCAUUCUAGUUGCAUUUGUUUCUUGUAGGGUUAUAAAUUAGCAACUGACAAACUGCUUUAUCUCUGUGACAGAAUUGAACAAGUAAGUAAAUAUAUUGUGGAUAAUGAGACUCAGUGUUUCUCCCUUUUGGAAAAAUAACUUAUAAAUAAGGAAAGAGGAAGUUUGGAUUGCACCCUGUGGCAUUGUGUUGGAAUUAAAAGUGUCUGUGUAAA